GACGAACGCUGGCGGCGCGCUUAACACAUGCAAGUCGAACGAGAAGCCCGGGCUUGCCCGGGUGGAAAGUGGCGAACGGGUGCGUAACACGUGAGCAACCUGCCCCGAAGGCCGGGAUAACACCGGGAAACCGGUGCUAAUACCGGAUGCCCUCAUCAUGUCGCAUGGCGAGAUGAGGAAAUUGAUUCCGCUUCGGGAUGGGAGCGCGUCUUAUCAGCUUGUUGGUGGGGUAACGGCCUACCAAGGCUACGACGAGUAGCUGGUCUGAGAGGAUGUCCAGCCACACUGGGACUGAGACACGGCCCAGACUCCUACGGGAGGCAGCAGUGGGGAAUCUUGCACAAUGGGCGAAAGCCUGAUGCAGCGACGCCGCGUGCGGGAUGAAGGCCUUCGGGUUGUAAACCGCUUUCAGCAGGGACGAUAGUGACGGUACCUGCAGAAGAAGCCCCGGCCAACUACGUGCCAGCCGCCGCAGUAAUAC
rnacentral:rRNA from 1 species